rnacentral:misc_RNA from 1 species
GUGAAUCAUCGAAUCUUUGAACGCAAAUUGCACUCUCUGGUAUUCCGGAGAGUAUGCCUGUUUGAGGGUCAGUUUAUUUAAAAAUCGGUGUGGUUGAUGCCUUUCGUGGUGAGGCAACGGAUUUGGGUCGUGUUGGCUUCGGUUAAGUGACCUAAAAUUUUGCAUGAUUUUUUUUAAACGUAUUUAAAUGAUUUUACGUACGUUUACGGUAUCGAAUAUUAGGUGUGGGAAUCCUUAUGCU